rnacentral:rRNA from 1 species
CACUGAGAAUUUAAAGAGCCGCAGUAUUUUGACUGUGCAAAGGUAGCAUAAUCAUUAGUAUAUUAAUUGUAUACUGGGAUGAAAGGUUUGACGAGAAAUAUUCUGUCUCUUUUUAAAAUAUAGAAUUUUACUUUUUAGUAAAAAGGCUGAGAUAAAUUUUUUGGACGAUAAGACCCUAUAGAGUUUAAUUUGUUAGGUUAUUAUGGUUUGAGUUAGAAUUUAUUGUGAUAAUUAAAUUAAAUUUAGUUGGGGCGAUUUGAAUAAUAAUUAAACUAUUCAUUUGUUUUUUCAUUGAUUUAUGUGUUUAUGAUCUUUUAUUAUUGAUUUUUAGAUAAAAUUACCUUAGGGAUAACAGCGCAAUCAUCUCUGAGAGUUCUUAUUGACGGGAUGGAUUGUGACCUCGAUGUUGGAUUAAGGUUAUUAAUCAGGUGAAGGAGCUUGAUUUAAUUGGUCUGUUCGACCAUU